UUAAAUUUUUUACAUAAAUUACAGAAAAAAAUGAACCUUUUCACAAUAUUCAAAUUUUCUGAGAUGCACCUGUAUGUUUCCAAGAUUGUCGUGCAACAACUCUAAACUUUACAUUUCAUCUGACUCUCUCUCUCUUGCAUUGUAACCUCUUUUACUUUGUUUCUUGGGACUGACUCCUACUCUUCCCUUCAGACACUUUCUCUCACAGCUUUCAAACGUAUUUUCUUAAGUAAAAAUUCUAAAUGCACUUUUUCUCACCCGAUACCUACAAAACUCCGGGUUAGGUGAGAAACCGAGUCAUCUGAACAUAUCUUCUUGCUUAACUCCUGCUCACGGUGGAGAGGAAGCUGAUCUAUGUUUCGUCCUGUAGAACCUUAAAACAUGAUUUGAGUGACUUGAUGUUUGCUCUCUGCUGUAAAUGCGAUUUUAAUUCCCAGUCUGAGGUGAACUGGUGUGACUAGAUGGUGAUGUAAGCGUUGUGUUCCUGCAGACCCUGAUGUGUAGUUUACAGGAAGCAGAUGAGAACACGAGAUCACUGCUGCUGGACACACUUCAACACUACAGCAGCAGAAACUAGAGCCCCCUCACUUCGCCUCCCCCACAGUGGCUCCACUUAGCCCUGCAGUCUUUCCACUAUGUGGUUUUGGAGGAGCCGAUCUAUUGGCUGGUGGCCCUGUCAGCCCGGGCCUGCCUCCGUGAGUUCCUGGCUGAGCCCCAGCCUGGUUCCCCGCUGGUGUCUGGGUCUGAGGUUAAGGCCGGCAGCAUCUACCAGCAGUGGAGUGAAGAGAGUCUGAAGGAGGUCGCCUGGAUUCGCAGGUCCAGCUAGCGGGAGAAGUCACGUGGAGUUUGAGUAUAUCGUUGCACAGGUUAGUUCAAGGAAAGCAGGAAAAUAGCAUUGUAAGACCAUAAAAUGCAGCAUCUGUGAGUUUAGUUGUCACGGUGGAUUACAAUGUAAGUAGCACACUGCCGUACACAGAAUACACACUGAGUUGUACGCAGUUGGCAGAUGCAGGCUUAGCAAUUGUACAUACACGUGAGAAUAAAGCACAAUAGCACCACCAGCAGUUUUGAACAUUCACUGGCUUGUUCUCAGUCUUGAACUAUGAUAAAAGGCAUGUCUUUUUUAUUUAGCGAUCACUUUCACAGAUAGCUGACUUCUGUAAACAACACGGUCAACUGAGUGACAGUUAAAGUGGAAAAACAGCGUGCGUGAGCACGUAGCACACAGCAAUAUCUAGCAGUGGAUGCGGCGGUCCAUAAAAUCCACAAUCAACACAAAAGCUCAGCACAGAACAAUAGAAUUAUGUCUAUCUCUCUGCCCAGACACUUUAAUUAAGCCUCUUACUCAGUAGCAACGAUGAUGGCACCAGUCCUGAAUAGGAAACUGUUUGUCUGAAGUGUUUCUCGGAUCGGAUCCUGGCGAAGCUGAGGUACCACUCAGCAGCAGGGUCACUGUUACAGUGGCAGCAGUUUGUGGAAACAGUGAACUGCUUUUGGGAAGGUAAGGCACCGUGGUUAUCUUCUUCUCAAUUAAGUACAGAGUUUGUCUGUCUUCUUCAUGCAUGCGUGGGAUUCGUUGUGUUGAAAAAAAGCUACUCUCCUCAGGAUCCUAAAAUAAAAAGAUGUGUUUUCACACAAAGACAUGUAAAAGAGAAAAACAGAGCAGCUCGUCCCGCAACUUUUAAGUCUGUAUACAGGUACAAAAGAUCAACGUUGGAAAAGUUCAGCAAGUGGUUACCUUCUUGCAGCUCACGAAUCAGCUGGGAUGGACGACAAGCCAGCGGGCUCAGUCCUUGUUGUGCCCAAGGAGGGCGCGCCAAGUGCGGUAGCGGGGUGACCUGUAGACCUGCAAGUGCAGCCUAUGGCAGUUCUGCUUUUAGGUCUGACCCAAGAUUUCACAUCUGUCUGUGAAAACACGUUUUGGUGCCUGUUCCAUUGUCUUUGGAGAUCUUUGUCUGAAAGAAUUCCAGUUUAGGCUUUUGGAAGUCCAACAGGCCUGUAGUCAAGCUUGUGAGAUGCCUGGAGGCCCAUUCCUUUUUUCUCUCAUAUGUUCUGUUCCCAACAAAUCUAUGAUGGGGAUGCAGUCCAAGAAAUAUUCAAUUUCCCUUGGUGUUCACCAGUGUUGGGGAAGUUACUCAGAAAUUGAAAAAAGGUACUGGUUACCAGUAGUGUAGUCUACGUGGUACGCAGGUAUACGCCAUAUACCCAAUAGGAAAGGAUUUCCGUAUACCAACUUAAAAUAGCGAGACUUCCAUAGCCUGUGACCAGGAUCUGACGUCACCUACCAAGAAACUACAACACAGCGGCCUGGCGGUCACUUGGCACAAGUUUGAAAUUAACUAACAUGAAUCAUUAGAGGAGAUAUGAAACGAAAACAAACUCAAACUACACUAUACUUACUAUACUAUACUUUUAGUGUAUAGCCUGCCACUGAAGCUGCUGCCGCUCCGGGUGACACUGCAGCUGCAGCAGAUAAACGUUACAGAAACUACAGAAACCAGCCAGAUGAGGCUGAUGCUAUUUUAACGUUACCUGGUGAGUGAUAGUAGCAUAUACGUUAUCAUUAACAUGACUGUAACAGCAGUUACUAACUUAGUUAAUUCAACUAACGUUAGUGUGGUGGAUCAACGAAUGUGGGAUACUGAGUGUGUGUGUGUCUGUGUACAGUAGCCUAGUAGAAGUAGCAGUUCCUGGGUGCUUGCUCAUGCAUUUGAUAGUAGUAGUAGAUAGUAGGCUACAUAACCUAAGUUUGACAAUGGUUUUGGAAGAUAAGUGUGCUUGAGAAGAUGUGGACCACUUUUUGUGUCCUCACUGUUAAUAAAAUUUUGUAAUGAAUGAGUGUUGGUGAUAAAGAUAAAGAUAUCCUUUAUCGAACUGCACAAAUGUUCAUUGCUAUUACUGCUACUGAUAAGCCUCAGCUUUCCAUUAUUGUUGCUAAUAGUUGCCACUUACACUCUUAAAUGUGCACUGAAAAUUGCCAGCUGAUAAAACCUGUACUUCAGGGACCAGAUUCAUAUAACAUCUAAGGUAAAUGUCGGCUACCUCUUUAUUGGCUGAGUUAGAUGUUGAUUAACACUAAACAGCAGAAACUCAGUCUAUUCUCCCCACCUUCAUUUACACUGGAGACUCUGGGGACAUGUCCCCACCACUUUUUGAAAUAGUUUAUGUUUUCCCACCACAUUUGUUAAAAAUUUUCUGAAAAAUAGCUUGCAACAAGAAAUGUAAAUAACAAAUGUAAGAUGCUAUGAGAAAGUUUUUUGGCACAAUGCACAUUUGCACAUUUGGCACAUUGCAAUGCAAUGUAAAUAUAGAAAAAACAGAUCUGCAUUGUCCCAACAAAAUUGCUUAAACUCCCCCCCCCUUUAUAUAAAUAAAGACAUCUUGACAUCCUCACCAUAAAUUGGUGCAGAAAACGUCUCCAGAAUGCAGAAAAUUAAGUGUUUAAUGCUCAAAAUCUUUUGGGGGAGGACGAAGCCUUUGCCCACCUGUAACUAUUCAGUGUUGAUAACACAUAGCCUAAGCCAGUGCUUCUCAAUGGGGGCAUUCAGAGGAUGACGGGGGGCGCUGGAAGCAAUAUUUUGGAGUGGGGUGCUGAGCUGAUUUUGGUGGGCAUUUGUUGAGGUGAAAGUCGGAAACGGGAAGUCAAACUAUAAUCUGUAAAAUUUUACUCACAUGGCGUUUACUGUGUAAACUGUGGAAAAUGGACGCCCUGUUUGUUGGUUUUACCGGGGUAAAGCAUUAUUUCUCUAAAAAAAUACAGCGUGAAUGCCUUGUUAUCGCAAAAGUUUCACAUUUACAAGAGGGAUAUUCUGCUGUCGGACUUCCCCUGAAAGCAACUUCGUCCAGCGUCCAAAACCUGAUGCGACACCAGCGAGUGCCAUGAAGUGGACCCACCUCGCGUUGACUUGACCUAUAUUAACAUGUACGAAAAUGUUAUCAGUCUUUUCAUCCAACUCUCUGUCCAAAAAAUUACCGUUAGUAUUUUAUAGGACAUCCUGGUAUCAUGGUCUUCAAAGUAAAAGUUUGUUUACAACAGUCACUCUACUUUAAGUGGCAGUUAUCCAGUUUUGGUUUGUUUGAUUUCAGCAGCUUCACAGAAAAUCAUCCCACGUCCAUGAGUCCCUCCUGAUCUGAGGCCCCAGAUCCGUGAGCAAAGUCAGGUAAAGGAGGUUAGGUAGUUAAAUGUUGUCCUAAUCGAUCCUUUUUACUGUGUGUAUGUGUGUGUGUGUGUGUGUGACAGGUACAGGAACGUGAUAGAGGAAUACCAGGAUCAGAUAGAUGUGUUUAAAGCCAUAAAUAUCUUCAGACAGCACAUGAUGAACCAGAUGAGUUUCUACAAGGCUGUGACCUGUGAUGUAAAGGAUGAUAAAUGAUGAAGAAGAGGCGGGUGGGGCUGCUGAUGAAGG